ACCUUCCUGGAGCAGUCGAAAACCCGAUUUAACAAGAACUACAAGGGGAUGAGUCUAUCCAAAAUCACCACCACCGUGGGCCUAAACAUCGGCACUGUGGAUGUGGGAAAGGCUCGGCUCAUGUUCUGGGACUUAGGAGGGCAGGAAGAGCUGCAGUCUUUGUGGGACAAGUCAGGACAAGACAAAGUGUGGGGACCUGGGGACCCUGCACUCCUCCAAAGUGAGUGCCUCCUUUCGGCUCAGAGACCUUGCUGCUGACCACCACAGGACACAGAAAUGGCAAAGACCAGAUGUGGGGACGGCAGGAUGGCUGCCUCUCCCCUGAUGAGGUUCCUUCAGUUCUAGCUUAACAUUUGUUCUUCCAUGAUCACCAGAAGACUCCUC
rnacentral:lncRNA from 10 species